UCGUCGAAGAGAACCAAGACUUAGUGGCGGACGGGUGAGUAAUGUAUGAGCAACCUGCCUUUCAGAGGGGGACAACAGUUGGAAACGACUGCUAAUACCGCGUAACGUAGCGAGGGGGCAUCCCCUUGUUACCAAAGGAGCAAUCCGCUGAAAGAUGGGCUCAUAUCUGAUUAGCUUGUUGGCGGGGUAACGGCCCACCAAGGCGACGAUCAGUAGCCGGACUGAGAGGUUGAACGGCCACAUUGGGACUGAGAUACGGCCCAGACUCCUACGGGAGGCAGCAGUGGGGAAUAUUGGGCAAUGGGCGAAAGCCUGACCCAGCAACGCCGCGUGAAGGAAGAAGGUCUUCGGAUUGUAAACUUCUUUUAUGAGGGACGAAGGACGUGACGGUACCUCAUGAAUAAGCCACGGCUAACUACGUGCCAGCAGCCGCGGUAAUACGUAGGUGGCGAGCGUUAUCCGGAUUUACUGGGUGUAAAGGGCGCGUAGGCGGGGAUGCAAGUCAGAUGUGAAAUCUAUGGGCUCAACUCAUAAACUGCAUUUGAAACUGUAUUUCUUGAGUACUGGAGAGGUAGACGGAAUUCCUUGUGUAGCGGUGAAAUGCGUAGAUAUAAGGAAGAACACCAGUGGCGAAGGCGGUCUACUGGACAGCAACUGACGCUGA
rnacentral:rRNA from 1 species